rnacentral:rRNA from 1 species
AUUGAACGCUGGCGGCAGGCCUAACACAUGCAAGUCGAGCGAGCGGAGGACGGGUGAGUAAUGUAUGGGGAUCUGCGUGAUUGAGGGGGCUAACUACUGGAAACAGUGGCUAAUACCGCAUACCAUCGGAUUAGCCCUUGUGGGAUUAGGUAGUCGGUGGGGUAAAGGCUCACCUUGGCGACGAUCUCUAGCUGGUCUGAGAGGAUGAUCAGCCACACUGGGACUGAGACACGGCCCAGACUCCUACGGGAGGCAGCAGUGGGGAAUAUUGCACAAUGGGCGCAAGCCUGAUGCAGCUAUGCCGCGUGUAUGAAGAAGGCCUUAGGGUUGGAAAGUACUUUCAGCGGGGAGGCGUUACCCGCAGAAGAAGCACCGGCUAACUCCGUGCCAGCAGCCGCGGUAAUUC